AAAAAACCUGGUUGGCUUAUUUUUGUAAUUUUUCAGUUUUGUUUCUAAAUGAGGAGCUAGAGAAGAUCUCAAACUGCUGUUGGUGCUAUUGGUUGUCAUUUGUUCAGAAAUCAUACAUUGGUCUCCCAUCCAUGAGGCAAGCCAAGGCACUUGUAUGGCCGGGAAAACAGAGCCGGGACCACGAAACACACAUCUGCUGGACUUCCUGCCUUUGACCCUGCUCCAACAUUCAUGGCGUUGUCACACUUUAUUAACUUAUAAAAGCUAACUAACUACUAAGGAAAUUCAAUGCCACCCUAAGAAAAGCAAAUUGCCAGUUAUUUUGACAUCAGAAGUUGUUUGAAAGUUCUGUGAAAGGAAAGCCCAACUGUGAUCUUAGGGAAAUUAAUUUUAAGAAACAUAAUUUUCAAAGGUGAUAAUUAUUUUUCAAGAAUAUUGCUGACCAUUGACAUCUGAAAUAGGCUUUUGGGUUUUUUUUUUUCGUGUUUUGUCUUUCACAAAGAUUAUUUUGACAUUUUUGCUUCUGGGAAUUUCUUUCUUGGCAACACAUAUAAAAGUAUUAAACUGGAUGAAGUUGACAUUCUCAGCAUUUGAAGUUUGUCUUUGAUUCCUUCAAAAAAGAGAGCAAAUGACAUAAAAGGGAAGAGGAAGGCCAUUCAACAUCAUUAAAACUUCUUUGAAAGUUUAAUAGGCUUGUGCUAUGGAAAACUAAAAUGAAACAAAAGCAUUUUUCAAAAUGAUGGAAUUUGGGGAUCUCCACUCAACUUUCCCUAAUCUCUCCUUUGCAGAGAUGUAGGGGCUGAAGACAUGCAGGUUGCUCCCCCAGGACACGGGCUGGUUAGUAGCAAAGGGGGUUUUAGAGGCAGGCUCCACCAGGUCACCGCAUGUCUGGGCAAGUGACCUCACCCAAGGCCUCACUCUCCCUAGCCCUCUCCCCAGCCUUUACGCAGACUGCUUCUUAAUCCUAAAUCAGCCACAGAAAACAAAGGAGCACCACCAACAGCCUUUUUUUUCUUUCUCUUUUUUUUUUUUUUCGAGAUGGAGGCUCACUCUGUCACCCAGGCUGGAGUGCAGUGGUGAGAUCUUCACUCACUGCAACCUCCACCCCCCAGGUUCAAGUGAUUCUCCUGCCUCAGCCUCCCCAGUAGCUGGGAAAAGCCACCACACCAGGCUAAUUUUUGUAUUUUUAGUAGAGACAGGAUUUCACCAUGUUGACCAGGCUGGUCUCAAACUCUGACUUCAUGUGAUGUGCUGGCCUUAGCCUCCCAAAGUGUUGGGAUUACAGGCAUGAGCCACCGUGCCCGGCCCACCAACAGCCUUCUUUUUUUUUUUUAGACAGGGUCUCACUCUGCUGCCCAGGCUGGAAUGCAGUGGAGCAGUCCUGGCUCACUGCAACCUCUGCCUCCCGGGUUCAAGCGAUUCUCCUGCCUUAGCCUCCCGAGUAGCUGGGAUUAUAGGUGCGCACCACCACGCCCAACUAAUUUUUGUAUUUUUAGCAGAGAUGGGUUUCACCAUGUUAGCCAGGCUGGUCUCCAAUUCCUGGCCUCAAGUGAUCCACCCGCCUGGGCCUCCCAAAGUGCUGGGAUUACAGGCGUGAGCCACCGCGCCCAGCCGAGCCUUCUAAUUGUAAAAGAUAGGCAGCUUUCAUUUAAAAAAAUCCAAGAUGGCUCUACACCUAGCGAUGUGAAAUGCUGUAGUCUAUUAAGGGAAAAAGCAAGUCACAGAAAAAUAACAGGAUUCCAUUUACAGUUUUUAAAAAUUAUAUAUCUGUGUGUAUACAUGGUUUAAAAAAAAUAAAUGAAAUCAUACCAUCAACCUAAAGAGGAAACUCAGAGAGACAGACUCGGAAACAAAUGAGCUCAUUUGGGACUAUGCAAGGGAUUGCAAUCCGUGGAAGCGUGUGCUAUGAUGGCUCAUAAGGUUUAAAAGACAAAGAGAAGUCCAUGCACGCUGCUUUGAAACAAGGCUGGCAGGUCACAGAAGCUCACUGCAGGAGCUGGCGUCUGUUUGCUGGUGGAGGCGGCCGUUGCCAGGUCACUAUCCCGUGCUGGUGGCGGAUCUGGAAUACCACAGCCUCGAGAAGUCCUUGCAACAAGUCCUGAUGCGGGUCUACGUGCAGGAACGUCUAGAGAUGGGUCCCGUGGCCAGCAUGUGGGCGUGAGGGCCUCUUCAUAGCCUCCCCCAACUCCAUUUUGCUAGAGUUUAGAGUUUGACCUAGGUGACUCCGUUUCGGUACCAGCAACUUUCAUAAUACACCCCGCGCCAUAUACAUGUAACCCUCCCACCUUUUUUUUUUUUUUUUUUUUUUUUUUUGACAGAGUCUCACUCCGUCGCCCAGGCUGGAGUCCAGUGUCGCAGUCUCGGCUCCCUGCAACCUCUGCCUCUGGGGUUCAAGCGAGCCUCCUGCCUCAGCCUCCCGAGUAGCUGGGAUUACUGGUUCCUGACACGACUCCUGGCUAAUUUUUGUAUUUUUCGUAGAGACGGGAGUUUCACCAUGUUGGCCAGGCUGUUCUCGAACUCCUGACCUCAAUGAUCCGCCUGCCUCAGCCUCCCAAAGUGCUGUGAUUACAGGUGUGGGCCACCGCGCCCGGCCUGUAACCCCUUUUUAAGGGCAGCUUCUUCCCACCCCAAAGGCAGGCCCAGGCCCAUCUCACUGUGCUCUGCUGGGGAACGCUGCUCUGCGCUGGGCCCUCCCUGUUUCCGGAGAGUGGGGCUGCCCCUCCGCCGUGCAGGCCUGGCUGAGGCUGGGCCCGCUUCCUCCUGACCGCUGCAGCCCCCGGGGCUCCCCAGACAAAGGCAGUUACACAAAGAAACAAAGGAAGGCUUAGAAGGGUACACGUCCUUGCUAACUCAGAACGGCUCCUGAGCUGCAAAAGAUGGGUCCUAAAGCUGGAGCUGUUCCCUGGGAGGGAGGCCUCUGUGUGCCCCUGCCUCUGUCUGAGCAACUCACAGCCUCCUCACUGUCCCCAAAGCUGACUGCCUGCAGCCUCUCUGCUUGCCCGCCGGCCGCCUGUCGCUAGGCUGCCCCCAGGCUGCCCCCUCCCCCUCUACAGACUCGUGCUUGGCUUUCCCUCUCUUCCUGAGGUAUCUAUGGGACCCCUUUAGUUUGUAAAACUGGGCCUCCUUUUCCACUCCAGAAAUUCUCCAGCAUAAAAUCUGUGCUCUUGGGGAGUGAGGAGGAGAGGUCUUCCUAGGAGUGCAGGGG
rnacentral:lncRNA from 1 species